rnacentral:rRNA from 1 species
UAGCCUACGGGGCGCAGCAGUGAGGAAUAUUGGUCAAUGGCCGGAAGGCUGAACCAGCCAAGUCGCGUGAGGGAAUAAGGCCCUAUGGGUCGUAAACCUCUUUUGUCAGGGAGCAAAGGCGUCCACGUGUGGACGAGAGGAGAGUACCUGAAGAAAAAGCAUCGGCUAACUCCGUGCCAGCAGCCGCGGUAAUACGUAGGUGGCGAGCGUUAUCCGGAAUGAUUGGGCGUAAAGGGUGCGUAGGCGGCCUGCUAAGUCUGGAGUGAAAGGUACCGGCUCAACCGGUACAGGCGCUGGAAACUGGG